UUUUUUUAUUUUUUUGGUGGGCUUCUUUGGCCUCUUUUAUUUUUUUGUAAAGUCCGGAGUCUCAUCCCGACUUAUGGGGGAAUCAUAGUCUCAAUCAUCCUUUCCUCACUGGGGCAAUGCUCUAAUAAUGAUGAUCAUCACAUUUUUAUUUACUUACAACUUAAUAUUACAACUCGAUACUAGAACAUAGAUAUGACUCUAUAUGAAUGCCUCCGGCGGUGUACCGGGAUGUGCAAUGAUCUAGUGUAGCAAUGACAUCAAAAAACGAACAAGCCAUGAAAACAUCAUGCUAGCUAUCUUACGAUUAUGCAAAGCAAUAUGACAAUGAAUGCUCAAGUCAUGUAUAUGAUGAUGAUGAAAGUUGCAUGGCAAUAUAUCUCGGAAUGGCUAUGGAAAUGCCAUGAUAGGUAGGUAUGGUGGCUGUUUUGAGGAAGGUAUAUGGUGGGUUUAUGGUGCCGACGAAAGUUGUGCGGUACUAGAUAGGCUAGCAACGGUGGAAGGGUGAGAGUGCGUAUAAUCGAUGGACUCAGCAUUAGUCAUAAAGAACUCACAUACUUAUUGCAAAAAUCUAUUAGUCAUCAAAACAAAGUACUACGCGCAUGCUCCUAGGGGGAUAGAUUGGUAGGAAAAGACCAUCGCUCGUCCCCGACCGCCACUCAUAAGGAAGGCAAUCAAUAAAUAAAUCAUGCUCCGACUUCGUUACAUAACGGUUCACCAUACGUGCAUGCUACGGGAAUCACAAACCUCAACACAAGUAUUUAUACAAUCCACAACUACCCACUAGCAUGACUCUAAUAUCACCACCUUUAUAUCGCAAAACUAUUGCAAGGAAUCAAACAUAUCAUAUUCAGCGAUCUACAAGUUUAUGUAGGAUUUUAUGACUAACCAUGUGAAUGACCAGUUCCUGUCAUCUCUCUAAAUAGAUAUAAGUGAAGCAAGAGAGUUUAAUUCUUUAUACAAAAGAUAUGCCCGUGCUCUAACAAAUAUAAGUGAAGCAAAAGAGCAUUCUACAAAUGCCGGUUCUCUAUGUAAAGAGAAACAGGCAAUCCAAACUUUAAAUGAUAUAAGUGAAGCACAUGAAGCAUUCCAUAAAGCCAUACUCAAAAGAUAUAAGUAAAGUGCAAAGAGCAUUCUAUAAAUAAACCAAGGACUAUCUUAUACCAGCAUGGUGCAUAAAAGAAAAAUGGAAACUAAAUGCAAAAAACGCUCCAAGAUUGCACAUAUCGCAUGAACGAAACGAAUCCGAAAACAUACCGAUACUUGUUGAAGAAAGAGGGGAUGCCUUCCCAGCAUCCCCAAGCUUAGACGCUUGAGUCUUCUUGAAUAUUUACUUGUGGUGCCUCGGGCAUCCCCAAGCUUGAGCUCUUGCCUCUCUUCCUUCUUCUCACAUCGACACCUUCUCGAUCAUCGAAUACUUCAUCCACACAAAACUUCAACAGAAAACUCGGUGAGAUCCGUUAGUAUAAUAAAGCAAAUCACUACUCUAAAUACUGUUGAAAACCAAUUCAUAUUUUGUUUUUGCAUUGUGUCUACUGUAAUAUAACUUUUUCAUGGCUUAAUCCACUGAUAUAAAUUGAUAAUUUCAUCAAAACAAGCAAACUAUGCAUCAAAAACCGAAUCUGUCUAAAACAGAACAGCCUGUAAUAAUUCGAACAUUCACCAUACUUCUGAUACUUGAAACAUUCUACCAAAAUUAGGAAAUAUAAAAAAUUUGUAUAAAAAUACAGUGCAAAAAGAAUCAGAACCAUUUGAUGUUCCAGCUAAAAAUGUAAAAUCACGCACUAGAGCCAAAGUUUCUGUCCUGCACCGUACAAACCAUCAAGCAAAUGUAAACAUCCUAAAGGAAAACCUUGGCACAUUAUUUUUAUAAUACAAUGAAAUUGUACAAGGGUAUAAUUAUUUUUUUUGAAAAGUUUCUGUAAUCAAGAUUCACAAAGUUGCAAUGAGCAUGAACAAAGUUCAAGGAGCUCUCCCACUUCAACAGUGCUUGUCUUUCUCACUUCCACUUUCCUUUUUGAAAAGUUUUGGGUUCCCCUCUUUAUUUUUGUUGUUUUUAAACUAUAUGAAAGCACUAAACAGAAAUAAAUGACUCUCUAAAACUUCCGGGUUGUCUCCCUGGCAGCGCUUUCUUUAAAGCCAUUAAGCUAAGCAUAUAGUGCUCAAGUAAUGAAUCCAUCCGGAUCCUAAGGUAUAUCAAAGCCAAUUUUAAUUAAAAAUGAUUUGUAAUUUAGUAGUGAGCACAAAGCAACAUAUAUCAUGUAAUGACGAAGUCUAACUCUCUUCCUAUGCAUCGGCAUGUCAUAAAAGAACAAUUCAUGCACACAAAGUAAAGGCCAAUGCAUAGUAUAAACAGUUUCUUGCAAUUUUAUCAUAUUAGAAACAUAGAGAGGUGGAGAUAUAGUUCCUCUCUCAUAAUAAUUGCAAGUAGGAGCAGCAAAGCACAUGCAUACUAUAUCUAUCAAAAUCAUCAUGUGUAAUAAUAAAACGCAACCCAUCAAUGUAAUCCUUAAUAAGGUCAAACUUCUCCGAUAUAGUGUAGCCGGGACAAUUCAAAAAGAUAAUAGGACUUUCAUGUGUGGGUGCAAUAGCAACAAUUUCAUGUUUAACAUAAGGAACUAUAGCAAGUUCAUCUCCAUAAGCAUAAUUCAUAUUGGCAUCUUGGCCACAAGCAUAGCAAGCAUCAUCAAAAAUGGAUAUUUCAAGAGAAUCAAUGGGAUCAUAACAGUCAUCAUAGCAAUCAUCCUUCGGUAAGCACGAAGGGGAAUUAAACAAUGUAUGAGUUGAAGAGUUACUCUCAUUAGAAGGUGGGCACGGGUGAUCAAUCCACUCUUCCUCCUUUUGUUCUUCGCUCUCCUCCUCAUCUUUUUCAUCCAAUGAGCUCACAGUGUCAUCAAUUUCUUCUUCCAUAGACUCCUGCAAAAUAUUAGUCUCUUCUUGGACAGCGGAGUAUUCCUCAAUAUAUUGUUUAACAUAGAUAUUAUAAGCAUAAUUAUCAUAGCAAUAUUUAAGUAUAGCAAAAUUUUCAGAUUUUUGAAAAGUAGCAUCAUACUUUUCAAUCAAAGAAGCAAUUUCAUAAGCACCCUCAAAAGCAACAAAUUCUUCAAUUUGUUGAACAUCAUAGUAACUAUAAACACCUUUAGCAUAAGAAGAUAAGAUUCCAUUAUCAAUAAACUCACAUUGGAAGGGAAAGUGUUUCUUAGGGUUUUCAGAACAACAAGUAAAAUCAUAUAAUUCACAUAAAUUCCAAGCAUAGCAUUGCAAACAUUGAAUUUGACUCCAUAAUAAUUUCCCUUUUUCAGAUAUACGGUGUCGGACAUAACAAGCAUGCUCAUCUAAAGAUUUGCCCUCAACUAAGCUAGUUGGGGUUUCAGCACGAGCACAUAGGGAUCGAAGAUGAUCCAAGUAAUAAGCUUCAGCAGUGUGAUAGAUUUUGAUUGGUUCUUCAACCAUUGGUUCAGUAGGUACAAUUAAUUUUUUUGGUAUUUUGCGUUUCCUACCCAUAACUGAAGAUAGGAAACAACUAACAACAGCAAAUAAAAAUUACUUAGUGAUAAAGCAAACAAGCACACGCGAGAAUAUUCACCCCACGCUAUUGCUCCCUGGCAACGGCGCCAGAAAAAAGGUCUUGAUAACCCACAUGUAUAGGGGAUCGCAACAGUUUUCGAUAAGUAAGAGUGUCGAACCCAACGAGGAGCUAACGGUAGAACAAAUAUUCUAUCGACCACCGAUACAACUCUACGAAUGCUUGACGUUCGCUUUACCUAGAACAAGUAUGAAUCUAGAAGUACUUUGUAGGUGUUUUCGGAAAGGUUUGCAAGAAAGUAAAGAGCACGAAAAUAAAACUAGGGGCUGUUAAGGUAAAGAAGCAACUAAAGUAAAUAUAGCGAGUGUGGAAAAAUGGUGGUAGGAGUUGCAAAAUUGUCCCUUAAGCAAUUGACUACUUUACUAGACCGAUAGCAAGUAUUAUGUGGGAGAGGCCACUGCUAGCAUGUCAUCCCUGACUUGGAAUUCUAUGCACUUAUGAUUGGAACUAUUAGCAAGCAUCCGCAACUACCAAUGUUCAUUAAGGUAAAACCCAACCAAAGCAUUAAGAUAUAUUGGUCCCCCUUCAAUCCUGUAUGCAUCAAUUUCUAUGCUAGGUUGAAGCUUCUGUCACUCUUGCCCUCUAAUACAUAGUCCUAUCAACAUACAACUAACCCUAUGGUGUGAUCCACGCACGCGCUCAUAUGAUGGGCACCAAAGGACAGCAACAUAACCACAAGAAAAUUAAAUCAAUCAUAGCAAUUCAUCAACCACCGAUAGGACAACAAAAAUCUACUCAGACAUCAUAGGAUGGCAACACAUCAUUGGAUAAUAAUAUGAAGCAUAAAGCACCAUGUUCAAGUAGAGGGUACAAUGGGUUGCGGGAGAGUGGACCGCUGUAGAUAGAGGAGGGAAGGUGAUGGAGAUGUUGGUGAAGAUGGCGGAGGUGUUGGUGAAGAUCGCGGUGAUGAUGAUGAUGGCCACGGCGGCGUUCCGGCGCCACCGGAGGAGAGGGGGAGAUGGGCCCCCUUCUUCCUCUUCUUCUUUGACCUCCUCCCUAGAUGGGAGAAGGGUUUCCCCUCUGGUCCUUGGCCUCCAUGACAUGGGAGGGGUGAGAGCCCCUCCGAUAUUGGAUCUAUCUCUCUGUUUCUCUCUGGUUCUGCGUUCUCAGAUUCUUCCCUUUCACCGUUUCUUAUAUUCCCGGAGAUCCCUAACUCCGAUUGGGCAGAAAUUUUAACAAGAUCUCUAUCCGGAUAUUAACUUUCUUGCGGCGAAAGAAGGGACCUAACCGCCUUAUGGGGUGGCCACGAGGGUCAGGGGCACGCCUGACACCCUGGGGCGCUCCCCCUACCUCGUGGGCCCCUCGAGCAUCGUCUCGCGUGGAUUCUUCUUUACAAAAAUCAUAUAUAUUCCAAAAAUAAUCUCCGUCAGUUUUUAUUCCGUUUGGACUCCGUUUGAUAUGGAUAUUCUGCGAAACAAAAAACAUGCAACAAACAGGAACUGGCACUGGGCACUGGAUCAAUAUGUUAGUCCCAAAAAUAGUAUAAAAAGUUGUCAAAAGUAUAUGAAAGUUGUAGAAUAUUGGCAUGGAACAAUCAAAAAUUAUAGAUACGACGGAGACGUAUCGGUACUACUUGUGCUCAUGCACACUACGCGCACACACACGAGCGUGCUCACACUUGAGGCUUGAAUGGUUGAUCCCCUCAAAAGAAGUUAAUUUUAAAUCAAUCAGUGCGGGGCAGAACGAUAUCAGACUUUGGAUAUCCCUCUCGGUGGAUGAGAAAUUGUUUAGGCUCAGGUAAGGUAGGCUCUUGAAACCUUGGAAUGCCCGGGGCAAGCUGAUGAUGCAGUUUUCCAGUUGUAGAAACUUCAGAUCACCGAUAGAAAAGAGGCAUGGGGAAAUAUUUUACCUUGGCCCUGAGUUCAACUUGAUUAUAACUGACCUUGUUGAUCUCCUUGACAGCAUGAGCAUGCACCUAGCGAACUCAUCCUGGUAACUUUUGUUACCUGAUAUAUCAAACUCUUCUAUGGUUUCCUUGUGGAGUGCUAACACCAUGUCAACAAACGUAACGAACCGCUUCUCUGACAGUCGAACGCGACAGGACAUUGUCCUUUAUCUUUGGAAGUAGACUCCUCUCAGUCUGUCUGAAGUCACAACAGAUGUAGCUUUCCCCUGGCCUUUUUGCAGCACUCAUCGAACUCUCCGCCCUUGCCUUUUUGCAGGCACUCAUUGCUUCAGAAUACAGAUUAAACUGUUGUGGUAUUUCAAAAAUAUGGGGAGCCUAAAUUAGCGUGGAUUCUACCACAUAUCACAACAUGCUGAAAUUAAAUUGUGCACUGCGUAAGUUACUUGUUCAUGGAAAAACAAAAAAUAAGCAACAACCAAAAGAUGGGAGUCCAGAAACAAGUCCGCACAGCAUGUUUCUAUUAACAGAACUGAAAUCGACUACUGGUAUUGGUAGGCUGAAAAGCUUGAUUAUUCCAGCAUUGAAUAUAAGCAUGGUUGGGAUGCAAUAGCUUAUAGUCAUGGUUACUCAGUCACGAAUGUCCUAGUUUGGAAAACGAUUAUGCCUCGCAUGCUAUAACUGGUAGAAAAAGGGCCUAUAGUCCCGGUUCGUAAGGGCCUUUAGUCCCGGUUCCUGAACCGGGAUUAAAGUGUCGGUACUAAUGCCCCGACUCUUUAGUCCCGGUUCGAUCCAGAACCGGGACUGAUGAGCCUCCACGUGGGCAGUGCGCAGAGCCCAGGCAGGAGACCCUUUGGUCCCGGUUGGUGGCACCAACCGGGACCAAUAGGCAUCCACGCGUCAGCAUUUCUGUGCCUGGGGUUUUUGUUUUUUUUGAAAGGGGGGUUGGGGGUUUUGGGGGGUUAAUUUAGGUGUUUCAUAUAUUGUGUUAGCUAGCUAUAAUUAAUAGAGAGAAGUGUCCUCUCUUACGUCCGUGCAUGGUCGACGCUACGUACUAUACAUACGUAUAGAGAGGACUAGACACGCUAGUUAGCUAGUAAGCAAACAAAGGAAACAGAAGAUCGUCAUGAACAUAUAUGCAUACAGAGAGAAGUGAUAUCGACCACCUCUCCUCCUCCGAGAGAUUGGUCGAACAACAAGUUCUCGUAUAUCUAUCCGACACUACCGGCUACAUAUAUACAAUAAUUAUCUCUUACAAAUAUAAUCAUACGGACUCAUGGUCCACAUAGUAUUCUCCUUCUUCAGCGAUCACUUGGUCAAGAAAGAAUGCCGCCAAUUCCUCUUGAAUUGCUCGCAUGCGAGCUGGUGGUAGGACUUCAUCCCGCUUCCGAAACAUCUAAUUUGAAGAAGGGGGUCAAUACAUAUAUAUAUGAAUGAAUGAAACUCAAUACAAAUGAUGGUAAUAAAAUAAAAUUGUGAAUGUUGUUAUUUACGUACUUCAUAUUGUUUGUCAGAGUACCCGCCCCGCUCACAGGUCGUGUGGUGGAUGGACUCGCAGACGCAGUAUCCACAGAAAUCAUUCCCUUGUUCCUGCCACAACCACUUUACAAGAAAUAGAGGUCAAUCAAACUGAUAAGCAAGAAUGCUAAAUGGUAUUGAUGAAACUAGCGCUUGAAUCACUAGGAGAUGCGCGCAACAUGCUACUAUAGUACUUACUUUCGAGUGUCUAAAUUCCUGCUCCUUCGGCAGUCCCGGAACUUUUCUGGUGAAUUUUCUCCAAACCCUGCCGGACAAAGAAAACAAUUACUUGAUAUCAGGAAAUGAACAAAGUUGCUGAUAUGGUGGAUAAUGAUCGAUUUAACUUACUUCUUGAGGAUUUCAGUCAUGUCCGCAUACUCCUGGGGAUCUUUUCGUUUAGAGUCCAAGACGGUUACUACUCCCUGCUCAAGCCUAAUCUCUAGGAGAAUAUAGUGGAAAUUGCACACGCAUGCAUAACUCAUCAAUUACAUUACUAUAACCUGGACUAAUAUAUAAGGGAAACCGAAUAUGCACAAGACAGUAACACUCACUUGAAGUUGUAAGGAAAGAGUAUUAUAUCUUUGUUUUCAUUUUUUUGAAUGAUCGUAGCAAGUUGGCCUCGGUAUCUCCGGGACGAUGUUCAACCUCAGUUGCAUCUAUGAGAUAUGUGUUAACGAACCCAAUAUCACCGAUUUGUCUUUUCUUCAAUUCGGCGAUCUUCAUUCUGCAUAAUAUAGUGAGGAUAAUUAUAAAUACAUGCAAUGAAAGAGAUGAGCUAUAUAGAGAGACUUAAUGACAAAAGUAGUAGUACUUACAGACAGUAGCAGGUGAUCGUUGUUUUAUCGAGGGCCAAUUGAUUGAAAAACUGAUAAAACUCCUCAAAUGGAAUAGGCAACAGUUCAAUUCCAACGAGGUCAUGCUCCGGUUUAACUCUCGCAUACAAAGUACCCCCCCCCCCAGACUCUCUGCAGUUUUUCAUGUACCAAUCAUGUAAUCUUCGCAUCAUCGUUGUUAAAGAAUUUUCAUCUUUGACGAGAGGCUUCCCAUACUCGUAUCUGUGUAUCUGCACCUCCAUGGGAUCAUAAUGUACAUCGUCGGGCAGGUAAUCGUUAACAUUGCCAUAACCGGGCACCAUCCUCGGAUCGACGAUGUCGCUAGGCACCUUGAGGGGGGGGGGGGGCACGAUUGCUUCGCUUGUUCGCCGAGCUGGGCAAUUUGUUUCCCAGCUUCUCGUCGUUCUUUCAGCCUUUGAUCACUGACUGUUCUUCCCGACCGCUCCGCUUCGGCCCAUGUCUUUGCAAUAAUGCGCUCAUAGUUGCCUUUCAGCGGAGACUUGGGUGGUUUUGCCAAGGCAGCCAGAGUGCGCUUCACUUUCACCGGAUCUACCUUCCCUCCGGAGGUGGAUGUUUCUUUGCUUUCAACCCUUGAAACCAGUCAUCCACUUCGGUUAGCGCGAUCUUCGCGUUCUCCUCCGGGGUCCUCUCGUAUGGUAACUUCUCUGGAGUCUUCAGAGAAGGACCGAAUCUGUAUGUCCUCCCGCCUCUGGUUGUACUGCUAGACGCCGACUGAGCAGACGAAGCGGUUGUCUUCUUUACUUGCUUACGAGGCGGAGGAGAAGGACUACGACGCACCGGAGCAGCUAGAGCAGCGGCAGGUCUCUUCCGCUCUUGCUGACGAGGCGGAGAAGGAGGAGGCUGGCUGCUCGGGCGCGUUGGCGCAGGCGAAGAAGGAGGCGGAGUGCCGCCACGCGCCGAAGAAGGAGCCGGCCGAGGGCCCUGAUCAUCACUCUCGCCGGAGGAGGAGGCGGUGGAGGAGGCGGAGUGCCCUGACUCGCCGGAGGAGGAGGAGGAGGCGGAGGCGUCCAGUUCGGAAGGUUGAUGAGCUCCUUCCGCCAUAGGCAUGGAGUCUUCAGAGUAGACCCCAGCCGAGUCUCCCCUUCACCGGUAGGGUGGUCAAGCUGGAGGUCCUCAAAUCCCUCCGUUAUUUCAUCCACCAUCACCCUAGCAUAUCCUUCUGGAAUCGGCUGGCAGUGAAAAGUUGCGCCGGGUUCAAUAGGAUAAACAGAGCCAACAGCCGCCUUGACCUUCAAAUUCAUCCAUUGCGUCAUAAGGUGGCAAUUUUGAGACUCCGUGAUAGCAUCCACGGGAUAGCUGGCAGGAGCCGUUAAGGCAUGCUCUGGCUGAAGCAGCUCGGUGGAAGCCACGCUGCUUCUGCGCUGAGAUGGCAGGUAGCUUCGGGGGUGGCUUCGGCAGUACGUUUGCUGCGAUUUGCUUCUCGUUCCUCUAUCGCGUCUACCCUUGCUUGCAGCGCCUGCAUUUGGGUUUGCUGCACUUUUUUCCUCCUCUCAUGGGAUUUGUAACCGCCUGCAUCCGGAAACCCAACCUUCCACGGAAUGGAGCCUGGCGUGCCUCGUGUCCGUCCAGGGUGCUCAGGAUUCCCGAGGGCCAUUGUGAGCUCGUCGUUCUCUCUGUCUGGAAAGAACGUCCCUUCCUGCGCUGCUUCGAUAUACUGCUUAAGCUUCCUGACUGGUAUGUCCAUUUGAUCGUUUGUCCAAAUGCACUUCCAUGUUACAGGGUCCAAGGUUCCGCCAGCCCCGAAGAACCAAGUCCGGCAAUGGUCUGGCCAGUUAAUUGUCUCUGGUUCGAUCCCUUUAUCAACCAGAUCAUUCUCAGUCUUGGACCACUUAGGCCGGGCUACGAGGUAGCCACCUGACCCCGUGCGAUGGUGAAGCUUCUUCUUUGCAGCAUUUUGCUUGUUUGUCGCCGACAUGUUCUUACUCUUUUCCGAUGUCUUGUGGGCCACAAAUGCGGGCCAGUGAUCUCUGAUCUUCUCAUAUCUGCCCUUGAAUUCUGGUGUCUCAUUAUUUUCGACAAACUUAUUCAGCUCUUUCUUCCACCUCCUGAAUAGUUCUGCCAUCCUCUUAAGAGUAAAAGACUUGAUUAAUUUCUCUUUAACUGGGUUCUCUGGAUUUUCCUCUGGCGGUAGGGUGAAAUUUGACUUCAGCUCAGUCCAAAGAUCAUUUUUCUGCAUAUCAUUGACAUAAGACACCUCAGGGUCUUCUGUAGCCGGCUUAAACCAUUGCUGGAUGCUUAUCGGGAUCUUGUCCCUAACCAGAACCCCGCACUGCGCAACAAAUGCGUACUUUUGUUCGGAUGGGUUCAAUCGGUUGGCCGUCGGGCGCGAUUGCUAUGAUCUCAAACUUUUCAUCCGAGCUCAACUUUUUCUUCGGGCCUCGUCUCUUUACCGAAGUUGUGCUCGAUCCGGAGGGCUAGAAAAAAGAACAAAGACUUAAUUAAUAUGUGUGCAUACCAAAACAAUGAAUGCAUCAAUCAGCUAGUCAGCACAGGCUUGACUAAUAUAUAUACCUGGCCGAACUCGGUUCGGUCACCGGAGCCGUCAUCACGGUCUCCUUCUUGCACCGGCAUUGGGUCACCGGAGCCGUCCUCAUGUUCGUCUUCUUGCACCGGCAUUAGGUCACCGUAGCCAGCUUGUUCACCCUCUCCUUCCAGACCAUCGGUUUCGUUGAGAAACAACGAGACGGCAUCACUUCCUUCUGCGAUUAUGUCCCUCAACAACGCUUCUUUUGCUUCGUCUAGGGCGGUGUCCAUAGUUUCUACAAAUAUUUACAACAUGGCAAUUAUUAUUCAAACAUGACAGAUGGAUAUCGGGAGGGGGUAUAUAUCGACAACGACGACACUACAUCUAUGUCCCUCGACGACCCUCGUUCCCGAUAAAAAAAAGAGGAAGAAGAAGAAAAAAAAGAGGAUAAGAAAGAAUAGAGGAGAAUCUCUCCUCUAUUCUUUCUUCUCCUCUUUUUUUGCUUCUUCCUCUUCUUUUUUUAUCCUCUUCUUCCUCUCAUGUUCGAGAGGAUCGCCGAGGGGUCGGGAGGUUGCCUAGUGUCAAAGGAUUCAACAAAACCAUGUCUUCAUCAUUAGGCGAAAGUAACAUGUGCAUGAUGGUACGAAGCUCUUCAAAGUUGUUCUGGAACGGAGUCCCAGAUAGGAUAAUUCGCUUUUUGGUACAAAGUUCAGCAAGAGCCUUCCGAAUAUCGCUAUUUGGAAGGCCUUUGCUGAAUUCGUACCAAAAGGCGGAUUAUCCUAUCCGGGACUCCAUUCCAGAACAACUUUGCAGAACUUCGUACCAACAUGCCCUGGUUACUUCCGGCUAAUGAUGAAGGCAUGGAUUUCUUCAAUACUUUGACACUAGGAAACCUCUCUCGACCCCUUGGUGAUCCUCGACCCCUCGAACCCUUGACGACCCUGGAACCCUCGACCCCUCGGCAAUCCUCUUCUUCCUCUCAUGUUCGAGAGAAUCGCCGAGGGGUCGGGAGGUUGCGUAGUGUCAAAGGAUUUAACAAAACCAUGUCUUCAUCAUUAGGCGAAAGUAACAUGUGCAUGAUGGUACGAAGCUCUUCAAAGUUGUUCUGGAAUGGAGUCCCAGAUAGGAUAAUUCACUUUUUGGUACAAAGUUCAGCAAGAGCCUUCCGAAUAUCGCUAUUUGGAAGGCCUUUGCUGAAUUCGUACCAAAAGGUGGAUUAUCCUAUCCGGGACUCCAUUCCAGAACAACUUUGCAGAACUUCGUACCAACAUGCCCUGGUUACUUCCGGCUAAUAAUGAAGGCAUGGAUUUCUUCAAUACUUUGACACUAGGAAACCUCUCUCGACCCCUCGGCGAUCCUCGACCCCUCGAACCCUCGACGACCCUGGAACCCUCGACCCCUAGACGACCCUAGAACCCUCGACCCUCGACCCUAUAGAACCCUCGAACCCUCGACCCUGAAACCCUCGACCCUUGACCCCUUAACGACCCUCGACCCUCUACCCUAGUUCCCGACCCUCGACCCCUCGACGAUCCUCGACACCCUCGUUCCGAUAAAAAUUAAGAAGAAGAAGAAAAAAAAGAGGAGAAAAAAAGGAGAAGAAGCUCCUCUAUUCCUUCUUCCUCUCCUCUUUUUUUCUUCUUCUUCCUCUUCUUCCUCUCCUCGUCUUCUUAUUCUUCUUCUCCUUCUUUCUCUACUUAUUUUCCUUUUCCUUAUUUUACUUUUUCCUGUCCACUAACAUAAAAUGCACUAACCUGAAAUGCAACAAACAUAAAAUGCACUAAAUCGAUCAACUAACCUAAAAUCAGUGAUAAAAUGCACUAACCUAAAAUCGAUAUCUACUAAAAACUUAAAAAAAUUAAUACAUAUAUGAAAAAAUGCAUAUAUGAAAAAAAACAUCAUCAUAUCAUCAACAGAAAAAACAAUAUUUUUUCUAAAAAUCUAUCUUUUGCAUAUAUACAUCAACAUAUAUAUAUACACUAACCUAAAAUGCACAAAAAUGCUAUCGGAGAGGGGGUAUAUCGACCCCCCUCAUGUAUCCACAUACAUACAUCUAUACAUACAUACAUUUCUCAUAUAUACAUACAUACAUUUCUCAUAUAUAAGUUUUUCUUCUUCCUCCUAUCUUCCUUCUUCCUAGCUAGAUAUAUAAAAUUUUGCAUAUAUAAAAUACAUGUAUGUAAAGUUUUGCAUAUAUAAAGUUUUUCUAAAAUCUAACUUUUGCAUAUAUGAACAUAUAUACACAGAGAACAUAUACAUAUAUGCACAUUUUUAUAAUAAUGAAAACAAUAAUAGGAAAGGGCACCGGCGUGUGGUCGAGGCGACGGUGACGGGGUUGGGGAAGGGGCGGCGCGCGCGGCGACGGCGACGGGGUCGGGGAAGCGGCGGCGCGCGUGGCGACGGCGACNNNNNNNNNNNNNNNNNNNNNNNNNNNNNNNNNNNNNNNNNNNNNNNNNNNNNNNNNNNNNNNNNNNNNNNNNNNNNNNNNNNNNNNNNNNNNNNNNNNNNNNNNNNNNNNNNNNNNNNNNNNNNNNNNNNNNNNNNNNNNNNNNNNNNNNNNNNNNNNNNNNNNNNNNNNNNNNNNNNNNNNNNNNNNNNNNNNNNNNNNNNNNNNNNNNNNNNNNNNNNNNNNNNNNNNNNNNNNNNNNNNNNNNNNNNNNNNNNNNNNNNNNNNNNNNNNNNNNNNNNNNNNNNNNNNNNNNNNNNNNNNNNNNNNNNNNNNNNNNNNNNNNNNNNNNNNNNNNNNNNNNNNNNNNNNNNNNNNNNNNNNNNNNNNNNNNNNNNNNNNNNNNNNNNNNNNNNNNNNNNNNNNNNNNNNNNNNNNNNNNNNNNNNNNNNNNNNNNNNNNNNNNNNNNNNNNNNNNNNNNNNNNNNNNNNNNNNNNNNNNNNNNNNNNNNNNNNNNNNNNNNNNNNNNNNNNNNNNNNNNNNNNNNNNNNNNNNNNNNNNNNNNNNNNNNNNNNNNNNNNNNNNNNNNNNNNNNNNNNNNNNNNNNNNNNNNNNNNNNNNNNNNNNNNNNNNNNNNNNNNNNNNNNNNNNNNNNNNNNNNNNNNNNNNNNNNNNNNNNNNNNNNNNNNNNNNNNNNNNNNNNNNNNNNNNNNNNNNNNNNNNNNNNNNNNNNNNNNNNNNNNNNNNNNNNNNNNNNNNNNNNNNNNNNNNNNNNNNNNNNNNNNNNNNNNNNNNNNNNNNNNNNNNNNNNNNNNNNNNNNNNNNNNNNNNNNNNNNNNNNNNNNNNNNNNNNNNNNNNNNNNNNNNNNNNNNNNNNNNNNNNNNNNNNNNNNNNNNNNNNNNNNNNNNNNNNNNNNNNNNNNNNNNNNNNNNNNNNNNNNNNNNNNNNNNNNNNNNNNNNNNNNNNNNNNNNNNNNNNNNNNNNNNNNNNNNNNNNNNNNNNNNNNNNNNNNNNNNNNNNNNNNNNNNNNNNNNNNNNNNNNNNNNNNNNNNNNNNNNNNNNNNNNNNNNNNNNNNNNNNNNNNNNNNNNNNNNNNNNNNNNNNNNNNNNNNNNNNNNNNNNNNNNNNNNNNNNNNNNNNNNNNNNNNNNNNNNNNNNNNNNNNNNNNNNNNNNNNNNNNNNNNNNNNNNNNNNNNNNNNNNNNNNNNNNNNNNNNNNNNNNNNNNNNNNNNNNNNNNNNNNNNNNNNNNNNNNNNNNNNNNNNNNNNNNNNNNNNNNNNNNNNNNNNNNNNNNNNNNNNNNNNNNNNNNNNNNNNNNNNNNNNNNNNNNNNNNNNNNNNNNNNNNNNNNNNNNNNNNNNNNNNNNNNNNNNNNNNNNNNUUUCAAAUUUGAAAACAUUUUUUUAUUUUUUUUGUUUUCUUUGUUGCUUUAUUUAUUUUAUUUUGUUUCUACUUACAAAAAAUACUUAUUGUUGCUAUUUAUAUUUUUUUCCCAGUUUUUUUGUUUUGUUUUCUGUAAUAUUUAUUUUCUUUUGUUUUUUGCUUUAUUUUUUAAAUUCUUUUUGCUUUUAGGUCAGCAAAAUUAUAAACUUUCUGUUAGUGCCAUUAGUUUUAGAAAAAUUAUAAACUUUCUGUUAGUGUCAUUAGUUUUCAAAUUUGAAUAGUUUAAAUUUGAACAUAGAUGCACCUAUAGAGAAAAUUCGACCUAAAUUCAUAGUUUUCAAAUGAACUCUGAAAAAGUUGGCAUAGCAUACUCGUCUGUUACAAAUUUGGCAUGGUAUCAUCAUAAUAGUUGUGGGAGAAAGUCUUCACUUUUUCUUCGCUUGUGUCAUUUACUUAUUGCGCCGUAACCAUGGAUAAUCUUCAUUGUUUAUCAGGAUGCUUGGGUCAGCCUUGACAUUGAAGGGAGGAAUUUCAUAAAACUUUUCAUAAUCUUCAGACAUGUCUGUCUUGCCGUCCACUCCCAAGAUGUCCCUUUUUCCUGAAAGAACUAUGUGGCGCUUUGGCUCAUCGUAUUAUGUAUUCGCUUCCUUAUCUUUUCUUUUUCUCGGUUUGGUAGACAUGUCCUUCACAUAGAUAACUUGUGCCACAUCAUUGGGUAGGACGAACGGUUCGUCAGUUUACCCAAGAUUUUUCAGAUCCACUGUUGUCAUUCCAUACUGUGGGUCUACCUGUACCCCGCCGCCUAAAAGAUUGACCCAUUUGCACUUAAACAAAGGGACCUUAAAAUUAGGUCCGUAGUCAAGUUCCCAUAUGUCCACUAUGUAACCAUAAUAUGUAUCCUUUCCGCUCUCGGUUGCUGCAUCAAAGUGGACACCGCUGUUUUGGUUGGUGCUCUUUUGAUCUUGGGCGAUCGUGUAAAAUGUAUUCCCAUUUAUCUCGUAUCCUUUGUAAGUCAAUAUAGUCAAAGAUGGUCCCCUGGACAACAAGUACAACUCAUCACAAACAGUGUUGUCACCUCUGAGACGUGUUUCCAACCAACUGCUGAAAGUCCUGAUGUGUUCACAUGUAAUCCAGUCGUCGCACUGCUCCGGGUGUUUGGAGCGCAGACUGUUCUUGUGUUCAUCGACAUACGGGGUCACCAAGGUAGAGUUCUGUAGAACUGUGUAGUGUGCUUAAGACCAAGAAUAUCCGUCCCUGCAUAUUAUUGAGUCUCUUCCAAGAGUGCCUUUUCCAGUCAGUCUCCCCUCAUACCGCGAUUUAGGGAGACCUAUCUUGUUAAGGCCAGGAAUGAAGUCAACACAAAACCCAAUAACAUCCUCUGUUUGAUGGCCCAUGGAGAUGCUUCCUUCUGGCCUAGCGUGAUUACGGAUAUAUUUCUUUAGGACUCCCAUGAACCUCUCAAAGGGGAACAUAUUGUGUAGAAAUACGGGCCCUAGGAUGACAAUCUUGUCGACUAGAUGAACUAGGACGUGCGUCAUGAUAUUGAAGAAGGAUGGUGGGAACACCAGCUCGAAACUGACAAGACAUUGCGCCACAUCACUCCUUAGCCUUGGUACGAUUUCUGGAUCGAUCACCUUCUGAGAGAUUGCAUUGAGGAAUGCACAUAGCUUCACAAUGGCUAAUCAGACGUUUUCCGGUAGAAGCCCCCUCAAUGCAACCGGAAGCAGUUGCGUCAUAAUCACGUGGCACUCAUGAGACUUUAGGUUCUGAAACUUUUUCUCUAGCAUAUUUAUUAUUCCCUUUGUAUUCGACUAGAAGGCAGUCGUGACCUUCAUACUGAGCAGGCAUUCAAAGAAGAUUUCUUUAUCUUCUUUCGUAAGAGCGUAGCUGCCAGGACCUUUAUACUGCUUCGGAGGCAUGCUGUCUUUUUCGUGCAAACGUUGCAGGUCCUCCCGUGCCUUAGGUGUAUCUUUUGUCUUCCCAUACACGCCCAAGAAGCCUAGCAGGUUCACGUAAAGGUUCUUCGUCACGUGCAUCACGUCGAUUGAGGAGCGGACCUCUACGUCUUUCCAGUAGGGUAGGUCCCAAAAUAUAGAUUUCUUCUUCCACAUGGGUGCGUGUCCCUCAGCAUCAUUCGGAACAGCUAGUCCACCGGGACCCUUUCCAAAGAUUACGUAGUGUAAAUCAUUGACCAUAGCAAGCACAUGAUCACCGGUGCGCAUGGCGGGCUUCUUCCGGUGAUCUGCCUCGCCUUUGAAAUGCUUGCCUUUCUUUCGACAUUGAUGGUUGGUCAGAAGAAAUCGACGAUGGCCCAGGUACACAUUCUUCCUGCAUUUGUCUAGGUAUAUACUUUCAGUGUCAUCUAAACAGUGCGUGCAUGCGUGGUAUCCUUUGUUUGUCUGUCCUGAAAGGUUACUGAGAGCGGGCCAAUCGUUGAUGGUCACGAACAGCAACGCCUUAAGGUUAAAUUCCUCCUGUCUGUGCUCAUCCCACGUACGUACACCGUUUCCAUUUCAAAGUUGUAAAAGUUCUUCAACUAAUGGCCUUAGGUACACAUCAAUGUCGUUGCCGGGUUGCUUAGGGCCUUGGAUGAGAACUCGCAUCAUAAUGAACUUCCGCUUCAUGCACAUCCAAGGAGGAAGGUUAUACAUACAUAGAGUCACGGGCCAGGUGCUGUGAUUGCUGCUCUGCUCCCGAAAGGAUUAAUGCCAUCCGCGCUUAAAGCAAACCAUACAUUCCUUGCGUCCUUUGCAAACUCAUCCCAGUACUUUCUCUCGAUUUUUCUCCACUGCGACCCAUCAGUGGGUGCUCUCAACUUCCCAUCUUUCUUUCGGUUCUCACUGUGCCAUCGCAUCAACUUGGCAUGCUCUUCGUUUCUGAACAGACGUUUCAACCGUGGUAUUAUAGGAGCAUACCACAUCACCUUCGCAGGAACCCUCUUCCUGGGGGGCUCGCCGUCAACAUCACCAGGGUCAUCUCGUCUGAUCUUAUACCGCAAUGCACCGCAUACCGGGCAUGUGUUCAGAUCCUUGUAUGCACCGCGGUAGAGGAUGCAGUCAUUAGGGCAUGCAUGUAUCUUCUCCACCUCCAAUCCUAGAGGGCAUACGACCUUCUUUGUUGCGUAUGUACUGUAGGGCAAUUCGUUAUCCUUUGGAAGCUUCUUCUUCAGUAUUUUCAGUAGCUUCUCAAAUCCUUUGUCAGCCACAGCAUUCUCUGCCUUCCACUGCAGCAAUUCCAGUACGGUACCGAUCUUUGUGUUCCUAUCUUCGCAAUUGGGGUAUAACCCUUUUUUUUGUGAUCCUCUAACAUGCGAUCGAACUUCAGCUUCUCCUUUUGACUAAUGCAUUGCGUCCUUGCAUCAACAAUGACCCGGCGGAGAUCAUCAUCAUCGGGCACAUCGUCUGGUUCCUCUUGAUCUUCAGCAGCUUCACCCGUGGCAGCAUCAUUGGGCACAUCGUCUGUUUCGUCUUGAUCUUCACCAGCUCCCCCCAUUGCAGCAUCACCGUAUUCAAGGGGCACAUAAUUGUCAUCGUACUCUUCUUCUUCGCCGUCUUCCAUCAUAACCCCUAUUUCUCCGUGCCUCGUCCAAACAUUAUAGUGUGGCAUGAAACCCUUGUAAAGAAGGUGGGAGUGAAGGAUUUUCUGGUUAGAGUAAGACCUCGUAUUCCCACAUUCAGUGCAUGGACAACACAUAAAACCAUUCUGCUUGUUUGCCUCAGCCGCAUCGAGAAACUCAUGCACAACCUUAAUGUACUCGCGGGUGUGUCUGUCACCGUACAUCCAUUGCCGGUUCAUCUGCGUGCAUUAUAUAUAAUUAAGUGUCCAAAUUAAUAGAAGUCCAUCAUCACAUUAAAACCAAAGUGCAUACAUAGUUCUCAUCUAACAACAUAUAGCUCUCCAGAGCAUCUAAUUAAUUAAACCAUACAUUGAAACUAUGUAAAACAUUUCAAUGCGAAAACAAAUGCGAUCAUAAUCGCAACCAAGGUAACAAUUGAUCUAACGACAUAAUGAUACCAAGCCUCGGUAUGAAUGACAUAUUUUCUAAUCUUUCUAAUCUUCAAGCGCAUUGCAUCCAUCUUGAUCUUGUGAUCAUCGAUGACAUCCGCAACAUGCAACUCCAAUAUCAUCUUCUCCUCCUCAAUUUUUUUUAUUUUUUCCUUCAACAAAUUGUUUUCUUCUUCAACUAAAUUUAACCUCUCGACAAUAGGGUCGGUUGGCAUUUCCGAUUCACAUACAUCCUAGAUAAAUAAAAUCUAUGUCACGUUGGUCGGCAUAAUUUUCAUAAACAAUAAAUGAACCAAUAGUUAUAAAGAUAAUAUACAUACCAAAUCCGAAUCAUAGACAGGACGAGGGCCGACGGGGGCGGAUACCAAAACCAUCGCACUAUAUAAGAUGCAAUAAUAAAUGUAAGAAAAUGAUACAAGUAUCUAUCUAAACAUACAAGUAAGAAUAUUUUUCCUUUCAGAAAGAAGAUAAGAACAAGAGGCUCACCACGGUGGUGUCGGUGAUGAGAUCGGCGCGGGUGAUUGACGGCGGUGAAGACGGGGACGGGGCGUGACGGACCGCUAAAUCUAGACAAAUCUCGAGGAAAAUGGAGCUUGGAGGUCGAGCUUCGAGAGGAGAAAGCUUAAGUAGUGUGCCUCGGGCAUUCCAUCAAACACCUCAUGUGCAUAGGAGGUGAGCUAGAGCACCACAAAGCCCUCUCCCCCUCGGCCAGAAAAAACAGAGCACUGUGCUCUGCUCUUGCGCGAGGGGGUAUAUAUAGGCACCUCAUUGGUCCCGGUUGGUGACAUGAGCUGGGACUAAAGGGGAGCCUUUGGUCCCGGUUCAAGCCACCAACCGGGACCAAUGGUGGUGGGCCAUGAGUGAGGCCCAUUGGUCCCGGUUCGUCCCACCAACCGGGACCAAAAGGUCCAGAUGAACCGGGACCAAUGGCCCAUGUGACCCGGCCGGCCCCCUGUGCUAAAGAACCGGGACCAAUGCCCACAUUGGUCCCGGUUCUAGACUAAACCGGGACUAAUGGGCUGACCCGGCCUGGACCAAAGCCCUGUUUUCUACUAGUGUAUGCACUAUAAUAAGGGCCAACCGAGAAUUAACAAACUUUCUUAGCAAAUCAAUAUACUUGCAGUGAAAAGAUUAGUUCUAUGAGAUUGCCACUUUAGAUGUUAGAGAAUAGAAAAAAAUGGUGUAAACAAUAUAGUGGUAAUAAACUAGAUUAAGUUAAGCAACAAAUCUAAACAAGCAUGUGAACAACACUAUAGCACAAUGUGUGGUAGAACUAAUUGUACAACAGAUGUAGCACAUGAUUGGGCAUAGAUUCAUACAACUGAUAAAAAACAUGAAAUUUUUCGAGUCGCGAAAUAGGAAGCUAAAUCAACUUACUCCCGUGCAGCUUGUUGGUGUUCGAUGUGGCUCGACGACGCUUGCGCCCAAUUGCUACAGGAGCACCGAAUAAUGCGAGGAGACGCCGCCGCCCACUUGGUGGGGUCUUGGACGCUGCCAAUCAAGGCCUGCCGACAAGAAGGAGCGUUGAGGAUAGAGGGGCGAGGACGCCGCCGCGACGCCAGGCCAGAUGCCUCUGCAGGAGCUCCGCCGGACCUUGAUGCCGUGCCGUGGUUAAGGUUCAAAUUACAUCUUUUUUUCCUUUCUAGGGAUAGGGUUCCAAUUUUGUAGUGAGUUGAUAAUUGGGCUUGAGGAUAGACUGGGCCACUGGCCAUUUAUGAGUAGGGAGGGGGUUAGGCUAGUCCGACGGAAUGCUUGAAUCGUCUGCCAUCUUUGGGUUUUGAUUGUAGUUUUGAAGUUAGUAGGUCCGGUAGGACGGGUGGACUUGGUCACUUUUGGAACAAUUCAAUGAAGUGCGAACUUUUAUAUUAUUCGCACUAUCCCUUAGCUGCAAAGAUAGAUGGUAUUAGUCCUGAUUCGCGGCGUGUAACUCUUCUUUAUGGUGAGGCACAAAAUUCCAGAAAGGUAGAAAACGUGGGAUACUAUUAAGGGUCUUGCUGCUACAAGCAACUUGUCCUGGAUUGCAGUCGGUGAUUUUAAUGAAGUACAGAACCUGAGCGAUUAUAACGGUAUUGGCAUCGAAGCAUGACGAUACUGAACCGCCUAUAUGGCAUGCCAAAUCAACGCCAAAUUGGGGGUCAAUUAUGUCACAAGGCGAUAAAAUGUGGCACAAAGGUGAUAAACAGGGGGUAUAAAUUAAGGAUUUUCUCAAAAAUGAGUUCAAUCUGUCAAAUGGAUGAAUCAUGGGGGUAAAAAUAGAAUUACACAUUUCAAAAAGAUGGGGCCUAAGUAGCAUGGAUUCUACCGCAUAUUACUAAAAAUACAAUAAAGGAAAAUUCUUAAUGGUUUGCUAAGUAAGUUGUUUGUUUUUAGAAAAAAAAAUAAGCUACAACUGAGAGAUUGCGGUUUAGGGAAACAAGUGUGGCAUGUUUCCAGUUAGCCCAAACUACUGAGAGGACCGGCUAUGUGUUAGUACUACUUGUGCUCAUGCACACUACGCGCGCGCGCGCGCGCACACACACACACACGCACGCACGCACGCACGCACACGCACCCACACCCGCACGCGCGCGCGAGAGUGUUGCUCACACUUGAGGCUUGAAUGGUUGAUGCCCUCAAAAGAAGUUAAUAUUAAAUCAGUCAGUGCGGGGUAGAAUGAUAUCAGACUUUGGAUAUCCCUGUCGGUGGAUGAGAAAUUGUUUAGGCUCAGAUAAGGUAGGCUCUUGAAACCUUGGAAUGCCCGGGGCAAGCUGAUGAUGCAGUUUUCCAGUUGCAGAAACUUCAGAUCUCCGAUAGAAAAGAGGCAUGAGGAAAUCUUUUACCUUGGCCCUGAGUUCAACUUGAUUAUAACUGACCUUAGUGAUCUACUUGACAGCAUGAGCAUGCACCUAGGGAACUCAUCCAGGUUAACUUUUGUUACCUGAUAUAUCAAACUCUUCUAUGGUUCCCUUGUGGAGUGCUAACACCAUAUCGACAAACGUAACGAACCUGGUUCCCAUAAAAUUUCUAUCUCACAAAGAUAUUUUUGGCAUAUUUGUCCAUGCAUCCCUCCAAGUACUUCAUAAGGUGCUAGUCCUAACUGCUUCUCUGACAUUCGAACGGGACAGGACGUUGCCCUUUAUCUUUGGAAGUAGACUGCACACUCUGUCUGAAGUCACAACAAAUAUAGCUUCCCCUUGCCUUUUUGCAGGUACUCAUCAAACUCUCCACCCUGGCCUUUUUGCAGGCACUCACUACUUCAGAAUAGAAAUUUAACUGUUGUGAUAUUUAAAAAAUAUGGGGAGCCUGAAUUAGCGUGGAUUCUACCACAUACCACAACAAGCAGAAAUAAAAUUGUGGACUGUGUAAGUGGCUUGUUCAUGGAAAAACAAAAAAUAAGCAACAUACGAAAGAUGGGAGUUUCAGGAAACAAGUCCGUCCGGCAUGUUUCUAUUAACAGAACUGAACUUUACUACUGGUGUUGGUAGGCUGAAAAGCUUGAUUAUUCCAACAUUAAAUACAGGCAUGGUCGGGAUGCAAUAGCUUAUAGUCAUGCUUACUCAGUCACGACUGUCCUAGUUUGGAAGACGAUUAUGCCUGGCAUACUAUGCACUAUAGUAAGGGCCAACUGAGAAUUAACUAAUUUUCUUACCAAAUCAACAUGCUUGCAAGGAAAAUAUUAAUUCUAUGAGAUUGUCACUUUAGAUAUUAGAGAAUAGGAAAAACAAUGUAAAUAAGAUAGUAGUAAUAAACUAGAUUAUGUUAGGCAACAAAUCUAGACAAGCAUGGGAACAUCACACUAUAGCACCAUAUGUAGUAGUAGAACUAAUUGUACAAUCCAUGUAGCACAUCAUUGGGCAUAGAUUCAUACAACUGAUAAAAAACUUGAAAUUUUUCGAGUUGUGAGAUAGGAAGCCAAAUCAAUUUACUCCCAUGCAGCUUGUUGGUGUUCGAUGUGGCUUGACGACGCUUGUGCUCAAUUGCUGCAGGAGCACCGAAUAAUGCGAGGAGACAACGCUGCCUGCUUGGUGGGAUCCUCUACGUUGCCAAUCACGGCCCGCCACCAAGAUGGAGCGCUGAGGACAGAGGGGCGACGAUGCGGCCGCGACGCAAGGCCAGAUGCCUCUGCAGGAGCUCCGCUGUACCCUGAUGCCGUGUCGUGGUUAAGGUUCCGAUUACCUCUUUUUCCUUUUGAGGGAUAGGGUUCCAAUUUUGUAGUGAGUUCAAAAUUGGGCUUGAGGAGAGACUGGGCCACUGGCCAUGUAUGAGUAUGGACGGGGUAGGCUAGUCCGAGUGAAUGCUUCAAUCGCCUGCCAUCUUUGGGUUUUGAUUGUAGUUUAGAAGUUAGUAGGACCGGUAGGAUGGGUGGACUUGGUCUCUUUUGGAACAAUUCAAUAAAGUUUAAACUUUUAAAUUAUUCGCAGUAUCCCUUAGGUGCUAAGAUAGAUGGUGUUGGUCCUGAUCCGUGGCGUGUAAGUCUUCUUUAUGGAGAGGCACAAAUUCUAGAAAGGCAGAAAACAUGGGAUGCUAUUAAGGGUCUUGCUUCUACAAGCAACUUGCCCUAGAUUGCAGUUGAUGAUUUUUAUGAAGUACUGAACCUGAGCGAUCAUAACGGUAUUGGCAUCGAAGCAUGAUGGUACAGAACCCCCUAUGUGGCAUGCCAAAUCAAUGCCAAAUUGGGGUCAAUUCUGUCACAAGGGGAUAAAAUGUGGCACAAAGGUGAUAAACAGGAGUAUAAAUUGAUGAUUUUCUAAAAAAUGGGUUAAAUCUGUCAAAUGGAUGAAUCAUGGGGGUAAAAUGGAAUUAACACAUUUCCACAAUAUGAAGCCUAAGUAGCAUGUAUUCUACUGCAUAUUAUUAAUAAUACAAUAAAGGAAAAUUAAAUGGUUUGCUAAGUAAGUUGUUUGUUCUUAGAAAAACAAAAUUUAGCUACAACUGAGAGAUCAAAGUUUAGAGAAAAAAGGCUGUCGUGUUUCCUGCCAGCCCAAACUACACAGUAGCUCGGUACCGACGAUCGAAGGAAGGUGAGAAGAGCUAAACUACUGAGAGGACCGGCUGUGUGUUAGUACUACUUGUGCUCAUGCACACUACACACACACACGGUAUUGCUGCUCACACUUGAGGCUUGAAUGGUUGAUGCCCUCAAAAGAAGUUAAUAAUAAAUCAGUCAGUGCAGUGCAGAACGAGACAAGACUUUGGAUAUCCCUGUCGGUGGAUGAGAAAUUGUUUAGGCCCAGGUAAGUUAGGCUCUUGAAAACUUGGAAUGCCCGGGGCAAGCUGAUGAUGCAGUUUUCCCGUUGCAAAAACUUCAAAUCACCGAUAGAAAAGAGGCAUGAGGAAAUCUUAUAUCUUGGCCCUGAGUUCAACUUGAUUAUAACUGACCUUGGUGAUCUCCUUGACAACAUGAGCAUCCACAUAGCGAACUCAUCUUGGUAACUUUUGUUACGUGAUAUAUCAAACUCUUCUAUGGUUCCCGUGUGGUGUGCUAACAACAUAUCGACCAACGUAACGAAGCUAGUUCCCUCCAAGUACUUGAUAAGGUGCUAGUCCUAACCGCUUCUCUGACAUUCGAACUGGACUGGACGUUGCCCUUUAUCUUUGGAAGUAGACUGCUCAGUCUGUCUGAAGUCACAACAGAUGUAACUUUCCGCUGGCCUUUUUGCAGUACUCAUCGAACUCCCCGCACUUGCCUUUUUGCAGGCACUCAUUGCUUCAGAAUACAGAUUAAACUGUUGUGGUAUUUCAAAAACUUGAAAUUUUUCGAGUCGUGAAAUAGGAAGCAAAAUCAACUUACUCCUAUGCAACUUGUUGUUGUUCGAUGUGGCUCGACGACACUUGCGCCCAAUUGCUACAGGAGCACCGAAUAAUGCGAGGAGACGACACCACCCACUUGGUGGGGUCUUGGACGCUGCCAAUCAAGCCCUACCGCCAAGAAGGAGCGCUGAGAUAGAGGGGCGAGGACGCCGCCGCGACACCAGGCCAGAUGCCUCUGCAGGAGCUCCGCCGGACCCUGAUGCCGUGUCGUGGUUAAGGUUCGAAUUACAUCUUUUUUCCUUUUGAGGGAUAGGGUUCCAAUUUUGUGGUGAGUUCAUAAUUGGGCUUGAGGAUAGUCUGGGCCACUAGGCCAUUUAUCAGUAUGGAGGGGGUUAGGCUAGUCCGACUGAAUGCUUGAAUCGCCUGCCAUCUUUGGGUUUGGAUUGUAGUUUUGAAGUUAGUAGGUCUGGUAGGACGGGUGGACUUGGUCACUUUUGGAACAAUUCAAUAAAGUUCGAACUUUUAUAUUAUUCCUAGUAUCCAUUAGCUGCUAAGAUAGAUGGUGUUGGUCCUGAUCCGUGGCGUGUGACUCUUUUCUAUGGUGAGGCACAAAUUCCAGAAAGGUAGAAAACAUGGGAUACUAUUAAAGGUCUUGCUGCUACAAGCAACUUGCCUUGGAUUGCAGUCAGUGAUUUUAAUGAAGUACAGAACCUGAGAGAUCAUAACAGUAUUGGCAUAGAAGCAUGACGAUACUGAACCGCCUAUAUGGCAUGCCAAAUCAACACCAAAUUGGGGGUCAAUUAUGUCACAAGGCGAUAAAAUAUGGCACAAAGAUGAUAAACAGGGGUAUAAAAUUGACGAUUUUCUCAAAAAUGGGUUAAAUAUGUCAAAUGGAUGAAUCAUGGGGUAAAAAUAGAAUUAACACAUUUCAAAAAGAUGGAGCCUAAGUAGCAUGGAUUGUACCGCAUAUUACUAAAAAUACAAUAAAUGAAAAUUCUUAAUGGUUUGCUAAGUAAGUUGUUAUGCUUUUAGAAAAAAAUAAGCUACAACUGAGAGAUUGGAGUUUAAGGAAACAAGUCUGACAUGUUUCCUGUCAGCCCAAACUACACAGUAGCUGGGUACCGAGGAUUGGACGAAGGUGAGGAAGAGCUAAACUACUGAGAGUACCGGCUGUGUGUUAGUACUACUUGUGCUGGUGCACACUACGCGCACACACACACUAGUGCUACUCACACUUGAGGCUUGAAUAGUUGAUGCCCUGAAAAGAAGUUAAUAUUAAAUCUGUCAGUGCGGUGCAGAACGAGACAAGACUUUGGAUAUCCCUGUCGGUGGAUGAGAAAUUGUUUCGGAUCAGGUAAGUUAGGCUCUUGAAAUCAUGGAAUGCCCUGGGCAAGCUGAUGAUGCAGUUUUCCAGUUGCAAAAACUUCAAAUCACUGAUAGAAAAGAGGCAUGAGGAAAUAUUAUACCUUGGCCCUGAGUUCAACUUGAUUAUAACUGACCUUGGUGAUCUCCUUGACAGCAUGGGCAUCCACCUAGCAAACUCAUCCUGGUAACUUUUGUUACCUGAUAUAUCAAACUCUUCUACAGUUUCCUUGUGGAGUGCUAACAACUUAUCGUCCAACGUGACGAACCUGGUUCCCAUAAAAUUUCUAUCUCACAAAGAUAUUUUGGGCAUAUUUGUCUAUGCAUCCCUCCAAGUACUUGAUAAGGUGCUAGUACUAACCGCAUCUCUGACAAUCGAACGGGACAUGACGUUGCCCUUUAUCUUUGGAAGUAGACUGCUCAGUCUGUCAGAAGUCACAACAGAUGUAGCUUCCCCUAGCCUUUUUGUAGGUACUCCUCAAACUCUCCACCCUGGCCUUUUUGCAGGCAUUUAUUUCUUCCGAAUACAGAUUAAACUGUUGUAUUUCAAAAACAUGGGGAGCCUAAAUUAGAGUGGAUUCUACCACAUAUCACAACAUGCAGAAAUUAAAUUGUGGACUGCGUAAGUUGCUUGUUCAUGGAAAAACAAAAAAUAAGAAACAACCGAAAGAUGGGAGUUUCAGGAAACAAGUCCGGCCGGCAUGUUUCUAUUAAUAGAAUUGAACUCGUCUACUGGUGUUGGUAGGCUGAAAAGCUUGGUUAUUCCAACAAUAAAUAUAAGCAUGGUCGGGACGCAAUAGCUUGUAGUCAUGGUUACUUAGUCACGACUGUCCUAGUUUGGAAAACGAUUAUGCCUGGCAUACUAUGCACUAUAAUAAGGGCCAACCGAGAAUUAACUAAUUUUCUGACCAAAUCAACAUGCUUGCAAGGAAAAUAUUAAUUCUAUGAGAUUGUCACUUUAGAUGUUAGAGAAUACAAAAAAAAACAGUGUAAAUAAUAUAGUAGUAAUAAACUUGAUUAAGUUAUCCAACAAAUCUACACAAGCAUGUGAACAACACUAUAGCACCAUAUGUAGUAGAACUAAUUGUACAACAGAUGUAGCACACGAUUGGGCAUAGAUUCAUCCAACUGAUAAAAACUUGUAAUUUUUCGAGUCGUGAAAUAGGAAGCCAAAUCAAUUACUCCUAUGCAGCUUGUUGGUGUUCGAUGUGGCUCGAUGACGCUUACGCUCAAUUACCGCAGGAGCACCGAAUAAUACGAGGAGACGACGACGCCCACUUGGACAUCGCCAAUCACGGUCUGCCGCCAAGAUGUUGCGUUGAGGACAGAGGGGCGAGGACGCCGCCGCGACGCCAGGCUAGAUGCCUCUGCAGGAACUCCGCAGGACCCUGAUGACGUGUCGUGGUUAAGGUUCCAAUUACCUCUUUUUUUCCUUUUGAUGGAUAGGGUUCCAAUUUUUUAGUUAGUUCAGAAUUGGGCUUGAGGAGAGACCGGGCCACUUGGCCAUGUAUGAGUAGGGAGGGGGGUAGGCUAGUCCGACUGAAUGCUUGAAUCGUCUCCCAUCUUUGGGUUUUGCAGUUAGUAGGUCCGGUAGGACGGGUGGACUUGGUCUCUUUUGGAACAAUUCAAUAAAGUUCAAACUUUUCAAUUAUUCCAACUAUCCCUGAGCUGCUAGGAUAGAUGGUGUUAGUCCUGAUCCGUAUCGUGUAACUCUUCUUUAUGGUGAGGCAGAAAUUCUGGAAAGGUAGAAAAUGUCUGAUACUAUUAUGGGUCUUUCUACUACAAGCAGCUUGCCCGGGAUUGCAGUCAGUGAUUUUAAUGAAGUACUGAACCUGAGCGAUCAUAAUGGUAUUUUGCAUUGAAGCAUGACGAGACUGAACCGCCUAUGUGGCAUGCCAAAUCAACGCCAAAUUGGGGGUCAAUUCUGUCACAAGGGAUAAAAUAGGGACAUUUACAUCUAUGCCCCUAAUUUGCGCCCACUCUCAGAUUUAUCCCUAAUUUCAAAGCCUGCUCAAAUUUGCCCCUCCGCCAUUAGGUGCACUUACAGAAAUACUCUUCUGUGCCGUUACCGUCCGGUCAAAGUAGGUCAAAGGGCUUUGACCAUCCUGAAAAAAAUAGCAAAAAUAUUCUAAAAGAUCCAAAAAUUUGUGGGAUCAAAGAUACUCAGGUUCGCAAGGUGCGUGCAAAGUUUCGUGCUGUUCGUACAUUCCAAGAGCUCGUGUAAGAGGAAAAACAAUAAAUAUGUAAGCCUGUGAACAGUAAAUUCAAAAAAUAGUAAGAAAAUUCAAAAAAUAUGAAAAUUUUUGGCAUAAAAAAGGCUCGGGUCUGCAAGCUGCGUGCAAAUUUUUGUUGUGUUUGGACAUUGGAGGGGCUUGUGGAGAAAAAAACAAAAUUUGGCUCGGGAAAAACUUGGGAAAAAUGACUAUUUUGUUUUUUCUUGCUAGAGGUCCUCACAUGUCAUUUGAUCACAAAAACUUGCAAGCACCGUGUGCACCCAAGCCACUUUUAUGCAAAAAAAAUUCAUAUAUUUUUUAAUUUUUUUGCUAUUUUAUUUUAAAUUUAUUGUUCACAAGCGUGCAGAUUACUGUUUCUCCUCGCCACGAGCUCCUGGAAUGUCCAAAUAGCACAAAAAUUUGCACACAGCUUGGGCACAUGAGUAUCUUUGAUCUCACAAAAAUUUACAUUUUUUAGAUUUUUUUCCUAUUUUUUUCAGGACGGUCAAAGCUGUUUGACCGGACGGUAACGGCGCAAAAGGGCAUUUCUAUAAAGGCACCUAACGGCGGAGGGGAAAAUUUGAGCAGGCUUUUGAAUUAGGGGUAUAUCUGAUUAGGUGGUUCGAGUUAGGGACAGAAAUACAAAUGACCCGAUAAAAUAUGGUAGAAAUGUGAUAAACAGGGGUAUAAAUUGAGGGUUUUCUCACAAAUGGGUUAAAGCUGUCAAAUGGAUGAAUCAUGGGGGUAAAAAUGGAAUUAACACAUUUUCAAAAGAUGGAGCUUAAGUAGCAUGGAUUCUACCGCAUAUUACUAAAAAUACAAUAAAGGAAAAUUCUUAACGGUUUGCUAAGUAAGUUGUUUGUUCUUUGAAAAACAAAAAUAAGCUACAACUGAGAGAUUGGAGUUUAGAGUAACAAGCCUGGCGUGUUUCCUGUCAACCCAAACUAUGCAGUACCUAGGUACCGAGGAUCGGACGAAGGUGAGGAAGAGCUAAACUAUUGAGAGUAUCGGCUGUGUGUUAGUACUACUUGUGCUCAUGCACACUACGCAUACACACACUAGUGCUGUUCACACUUGAGGCUUGAAUGGUUGAUGCCCUCAAAAUAAGUAAAUAUUAAAUCAGUCAGUGCGGUGCAGAACGAGACAAGACUUUGGAUAUCCCUGUCGGUGGAUGAGAAACUUUUUAGGCUCAGGUAAGUUAGGCUCUUGAAACCUUGGGAUGCCCGAGGCAAGCUGAUGAUGUAGUUUUCCAGUUGCAGAAACUUCAAAUCACCCAUAGAAAGGAUUCAUGAGGAAAUCUUAUACCUUUGCCUGAGUUCAACUUGAUUAUAACUGACCUUGGUGAUCUCCUUGACAGCGUGAGCAUCCACCUAGCGAACUCAUCCUGGUUACUUUUCUUACCUGAUGUAUCAAACUCUUGUAUGGUUCUCUUGUGGAGUUCUAACAAUAUAUCGACCAACAUGAGGAACCUGGUACCCAUAGAAUUUCUAUCUCGCAAAGAUAUUUUUGGCAUAUUUUUCCAUGCAUCCCUCCAAGUACUUGAUAAGGUGCUAGUCCUAAUCGCUUCUCUGAUAUUCGAACGGGACAGGAAGUUGCCAUUUAUCUUUGGAAGUAGUGCUCAGUCUGUCUCAAGCCACAACAGAUGUAGCUUCCCCCUGGCCUUUUUGCAGGUAUUCAUCGAACUCUCCACCCUGGCCUUUUUGCAGGCACUUAAUGCUUCAGAAUACCAAUUAAACAGUUCUGGUAUUUCAAAAAUAUGAGGAGCCUAAAUUAGCAUGGAUUCUACCACAUUUCACAACAUGCAAAAAUUAAAUUGUGGACUGCGUAAGUUGCUUGUUCAUGGAAAAACAAAAAAUAAGCAACAAUCAAAAGACGGGAGUUUCAGGAAACAAGUCCGGCCGGCAUGUUUCUAUUAAGACAACUGAACUCGGAUACAGGUGUCGGUAGGCUGAAAAGCUUGAUUAUUCCAACAUUAAAUAUAAGCAUGAUCGGGAUACAAUAGCUUAUAGUCAUGGUUACUCAGUCAUGACUGUCCUAGUUUGGAAAACGAUUAUGCUUGGCAUACUAUGCACUAUAAUAAGGACCCACGGCGACGAGCGUCGAGAAGCCCUCCGACGAUCAACGCCGGACGGAGGUAGAAGACGAUGAACAAAUCACAACUCCCUCAAACACAUAUACAUAGAGGUACACACGCACACACGCAGCACAACCUCGGAAUAACUCUCACAUCGACCGGGCGCGUACUACAGUCCCGACGAAGACUACAUCUUCUUUGGGCCCCUCCCCCUCGGCUCGGCACACACUGUCACCGUAGCGCGGCAACAAACGGGGGCACUUUACAUCAAUACACGGGAUGGGCUUUUAUAGCCAAGCUACACACCAGCACCCGCACUCACAUGACCCAGCCACCACACCGGCCACUAACCCAUGCAUGCACCAUCACACCUGGCCACUAACUCAAUUAACUUGGCCGGCACUCACGCACUAGCUAACAACCUUAUCUAGCUGAUCUGAUUCAUGCACUAACUAACCCCACGCAAGUCACGCGCACACCACGUAGCUAGCUCCAACAGAUCGCAACAGCCUCUGUGCAUGCAACUCCUUCACGUCAGGAACGCGAGCAUGGACUCACGCCGGCACACACCCCGUGCCCAUCAUGGACUAAAACUGUCGCGUCGACGCCGGUCACCACCGGACGGGCACAAGCAUGGCUUAUUGCCAACCCUCACCCCCUAAGCCAUGACCUUGCCGCCGUCGUCGUCUUGUACUCGUUGCGGCGGCCCCUUGCACGCGACGACCUGUGCCGCACCGCCCGGUCUCCGCACCAUGGCCACCGCGCUACACUCGUUGUCGACGUCGUUCCCCGGAUGCCGCACCACAGCCGCAACAGCAUCCACGCCGCCGUGAAGCGCCGCUGCGCCACCACGCAGCGCCUCGGCGGCCUCCGCGGUUGCCGCACGUACGACAUCACCACCCGCCACCUCCACCACGCGCCAUGACAGCCGCAGCGCCGGCCACCUCCAUACGCCGACACACGGCCCGGAGCUUUACCGCGCAGCCGCCAACGAACACCGCCACCGCCGGCAUGCCUCCGGCAAGGUGACGACACCGAAGAUGAACCAGCUCAUGAUACCAAAUGUUGGAACAAACCCACGGCGACGAGCGCCGAGAAGCCCUCCGACGAUCAACGCCGGACGGAGGUAGAAGACGAUGAACAAAUCACACUUCCGGCGAUGAACGCCCCGGCCGAAGAACGGUCUGUAUGUUGGCAUCUAUUCAUCUCAACUCCCUCAAACACAUAUACAUGGAGGUACACACGCACACACGCAGCACAACCCCGGAAGAACUCUCACAUCGACCGGGCGCAUACCACAGUUCCGACGGAGACUACAUCUUCCUUGGGCCCCUCCCCCUCGGCUCGGCACACACCGUCACCGUGGCGUGGCAACAAACCGGCGCACUUUACAUCAAUACACCGGAUGGGCUUUUAUAGCCAAGCUACACACCAGCACCCGCACUCACAUGACCGAGCCACCACACCGGCCACUAACCCAUGCAUGCACCAUCACACCCGGCCACUAACUCAAUUAACUUGGCCGGCACUCACGCACUAGCUAAAAACCUUAUCCAGCUGAUCUGAUUCAUGCACUAACUAACCCCACGCGAGUCACGCGCACACCACGUAGCGAGCUCCAACAGAUCGCAACAGCCUCUGUGCAUGCAACUCCUUCACGUCAGGAACGCGAGCAUGGACUCACGCCGGCACACACCCCGUGCCCAUCAUGGACCAGAACUGUCGCAUCGACGCCGGUCACCACCGGACGGGCACAAGCAUGGCUUAUUG
rnacentral:lncRNA from 1 species